rnacentral:lncRNA from 13 species
UGCAGCUUUAGUGUUCCCUCAUGAAACCCUUAGACCACCAUGCUGUGAGGAAGCCCAGUCUAGCCUACUAAGAGACAAAAGGUCCUAUGGAGGAAAAUCAAGCCAACAGCCAGAAAAAACUGUCAGACAUGAUGAACUAACCACCAUGGGUCACUUUAAGUCCUGAACUUGAGAUUUUUAUGGCUUACACAGGACCAAGGCAAGAUUUAUUGCCAUUUAUUUUGAAAGUGGAUAUGGAGGCUUAAGGAGGUUAAAGUCAUACAGAUAGAAGAGGAAAGAGGAUGAAUGCAUAGAUUUCAACUACUGCAUUCUACUGAGAAGGCUAAGAAAAGGUUAGAAGAUAUUUUUAUGACUAAAAGCAAAACCAACUAUUGUGAUGAAAAGAUAGACAGCACAUCACCUCACUACUGCCUCCAACGUGAUUUUGUCCCUGCCUUCCCACAGGUGGCUGGAAAGCUAGACAGGAAAGACAAUUCCAGGGAGUUAAAGUGAAGAAAAACAACAACAAAAUAAUUCAAGUG